rnacentral:rRNA from 1 species
GAUGAACGCUAGCGAUAGGCUUAACACAUGCAAGUCGAGUGGCAGCAUGUUCUUAGCUUGCUAAGACUGAUGGCGACCGGCGCACUGGUGCGUAACUCGUCUGCAAUUUGCUUCACCGAGGGGGAUAACCCGUCGAACGACGGUCUACUACUGCGUACACUCCAUCUUGGGCAUCCAAUGUAGAGGAAAUGAAAUUCGCUGUGGGAUAGGCAUGCUUCCCAUUAUCUAGUUGGUGAGGUAACGGCUCACCACGGCGACGAGGGGUAGGGGAACUGAGAGGGGGAGCCCCAACACGGGGACUGAGAGACGGAGCAGAGUAAUACGGGAGGCAGCAGUGAGGAGUAUUGGGCAAUGGGGGAGAGACUGAAGCAGCGAAGCGGCGUGAGGGAUGACGGGCUUAUGGAUUGGAAACUUCUUUUAGACGGAAAAAACAAGAGUAACGGGUGAGUCAUGACAGGAACCGUAGAAAAAGCCACGGCUAAAUACGGG